UUGGUGUCUGGGAAACUGCCUGAUGGAGGGGGAUAACUACUGGAAACGGUAGCUAAAACCGCAUAACGUCGCAAGACCAAAGUGGGGGACCUUCGGGCCUCAUGCCAUCAGAUGUGCCCAGAUGGGAUUAGCUAGUAGGUGGGGUAACGGCUCACCUAGGCGACGAUCCCUAGCUGGUCUGAGAGGAUGACCAGCCACACUGGAACUGAGACACGGUCCAGACUCCUACGGGAGGCAGCAGUGGGGAAUAUUGCACAAUGGGCGCAAGCCUGAUGCAGCCAUGCCGCGUGUGUGAAGAAGGCCUUCGGGUUGUAAAGCACUUUCAGCGGGGAGGAAGGCGAUAAGGUUAAUAACCUUGUCGAUUGACGUUACCCGCAGAAGAAGCACCGGCUAACUCCGUGCCAGCACCGGCCGGUAAUUA
rnacentral:rRNA from 1 species